AAUAAAUGAAUCUAAAAUAGAAAUUAAUUUCGGCUUAAUCUUAGAUAAUUAAAAUUUAUCCAUUUAU
rnacentral:tRNA from 1 species